GAUAAGAACGCAGUGAAAUGCGAUACUUGGUGUGAAUUGCAGAAUCCCGUGAACCAUCGAGUCUUUGAACGCAAGUUGCGCCCGAAGCCAUUAGGCCGAGGGCACGCCUGCCUGGGCGUCACACGUCGUUGCCCCCCCAUCUACUCCUUCGGGAUUGCGGGGGGCGGAUGAUGGCCUCCCGUGCGCCUCGUCGCGCGGUUGGCAUAAAUGCCAAGUCCUCGGCGACGCACGCCACGACAAUCGGUGGUUGCGAAACCUCGGUUGCCCGUCGUGUGCGGUCGUCGCGCAUCGAGGGCUCGAAAAAAUUGCCGGGCUCCGGCUCGGCUUUCAACGCGACCCCAGGUCAGGCGGGGUUACCCGCUGAAUUUAAGCAUAUCAAUAAGCGGAGGA
rnacentral:misc_RNA from 1 species